GCAAGGUUAAAACUCAAAUGAAUUGACGGGGGCCCGCACAAGCGGUGGAGCAUGUGGUUUAAUUCGAUGCAACGCGAAGAACCUUACCUGGUCUUGACAUCCACGGAAGUUUUCAGAGAUGAGAAUGUGCCUUCGGGAACCGUGAGACAGGUGCUGCAUGGCUGUCGUCAGCUCGUGUUGUGAAAUGUUGGGUUAAGUCCCGCAACGAGCGCAACCCUUAUCCUUUGUUGCCAGCGGUCCGGCCGGGAACUCAAAGGAGACUGCCAGUGAUAAACUGGAGGAAGGUGGGGAUGACGUCAAGUCAUCAUGGCCCUUACGACCAGGGCUACACACGUGCUACAAUGGCGCAUACAAAGAGAAGCGACCUCGCGAGAGCAAGCGGACCUCAUAAAGUGCGUCGUAGUCCGGAUUGGAGUCUGCAACUCGACUCCAUGAAGUCGGAAUCGCUAGUAAUCGUGGAUCAGAAUGCCACGGUGAAUACGUUCCCGGGCCUUGUACACACCGCCCGUCACACCAUGGGAGUGGGUUGCAAAAGAAGUAGGUAGCUUAACCUUCGGGAGGGCGCUUACCACUUUGUGAUUCAUGACUGGGGUGAAGUCGUAACAAGGUAACCGUAGGGGAACCUGCGGUUGGAUCACCUCCUU
rnacentral:rRNA from 1 species